GAUUAAGUUAUUAAGGGCGCACGGUGGAUGCCUUGGCACUAGAAGCCGAUGAAGGACGUUACUAACGACGAUAUGCUUUGGGGAGCUGUAAGUAAGCUUUGAUCCAGAGAUUUCCGAAUGGGGAAACCCAGCAUGAGUUAUGUCAUGUUAUCGAUAUGUGAAUACAUAGCAUAUCAGAAGGCACACCCGGAGAACUGAAACAUCUUAGUACCCGGAGGAAGAGAAAGAAAAUUCGAUUCCCUUAGUAGCGGCGAGCGAAACGGGAAGAGCCCAAACCAACAAGCUUGCUUGUUGGGGUUGUAGGACACUCUAUACGGAGUUACAAAGGACGACAUUAGACGAAUCAUCUGGAAAGAUGAAUCAAAGAAGGUAAUAAUCCUGUAGUCGAAAAUGUUGUCUCUCUUGAGUGGAUCCUGAGUACGACGGAGCACGUGAAAUUCCGUCGGAAUCUGGGAGGACCAUCUCCUAAGGCUAAAUACUCUCUAGUGACCGAUAGUGAACCAGUACCGUGAGGGAAAGGUGAAAAGCACCCCGGAAGGGGAGUGAAAUAGAACCUGAAACCGUGUGCUUACAAGUAGUCAGAGCCCGUUAAUGGGUGAUGGCGUGCCUUUUGUAGAAUGAACCGGCGAGUUACGAUUUGAUGCAAGGUUAAGCAGUAAAUGUGGAGCCGUAGCGAAAGCGAGUCUGAAUAGGGCGUUUAGUAUUUGGUCGUAGACCCGAAACCAGGUGAUCUACCCUUGGUCAGGUUGAAGUUCAGGUAACACUGAAUGGAGGACCGAACCGACUUACGUUGAAAAGUGAGCGGAUGAACUGAGGGUAGCGGAGAAAUUCCAAU
rnacentral:rRNA from 1 species